UAGAUUCCACUUUAGGGUUAUUAUGAAUAAAGCUGCUAUGAACAUUCUUGUACAAGUCAUUCACACAUUACGUUUUUCUUGGGAAAAAUAUCGGAAUGGAAUUGCUGAGUAUAGGGGAUGUGUUUCUCAGAAACUGUCAAACAAUUUUCCAAAGUGUCUGUCCUCCUUUAUACUCCCAUGAGCAGUGUACAUGAUUUCUGUUCUGCUCUACAUUCUUGCCAGCACUCAGUAUUGUCAAGUCAUAUUUGUUUUAGCCAUUAUAGUAUGUAGAGGUGUAUCAUUGUGGUUUUUAAUAUGCUUUUACCUAGUAACUUUUCAUAUACUUUUUGGCUAUGCGGAUACCUUUUUAUGUGAAGUAUUUUUGCCUUUCAUACCCUCAUUGCUAGUCCUGCCCCCCCUUAUCUGAGGGGGACACUUUAGAGAACCCCAGUGAAUGCCUGAGCUGUGGAUAGUACCAACUCUUAAUAAAGAACUAUGUUUUUUCCUGUAUGUACAUAACUAUGAUAAAGCCUAAUUUACAAAUUAGGCACAGGAGGAGAUUAACAGCAAUAACUAAUAAUAGAACAAUGAUAACAGUAUAUAGUAAUAAAAGUUAUAUGAGUGUGAUGUCUCUCAGAAUGUCUUACUGUACUGUUACCUUUCUGGUGAUGAUGUGAUACGCCUACGUGAUGAAAUGAAGUGAGGUAAACAAUGUAGGCAUGGUGAAGUAGCAUUAGGCUAUUAUUGACCUUCUGACACAACGUCAGAAGAGGAUCAUCUGCUUCUGGACCACCGUUGAGUGUAGGUAGCUGAAACUAAAGAAAGCGACACUGUGGGAGGGCGAAAGAAAACAUGGAUGAAGCUUCCUGAAUUUCGGCUUCUGGCAUGAAUCAAGUUCAGAGACUAGGAAGUGCUGGUGUCAUUAUUUCCUUUCAGGUAAACUGUUUUCUAUUGGAGAACCACGAACCUAGGGAAUUACUAAAAAAUUAGAAUUGCCUUUUGAAAUUAGAAAAUUACUUUGUAAAUACUCUGUAGACCUUUUGUUGGUAUUAAAUUUUUAAAUUGCUGGGGUGCCUGGGUGGCUUGGUCGUUAAGCGUCUGCC